AACAUCGCGCACCUGCGGGAACCUGCGGAAGGAUCAUUACAUGGCGGAGAAGGUGGGCACCUGGGCAAACUCCAGGUUGUGAUGCCUUCACGCUCUUCCACCCUUGUCUAUUUGCACCUUCUGUCGUUCCCUCGGCGGGUUUCGACCCGCCGGCGGCAACAUUGAAAAACCUUUUUGCAGUUAGCAUCCGAUUCUUCUGAUCAAAAUAUCAAAUCGUUACAACUUUUAACAAUGGAUCUC
rnacentral:misc_RNA from 1 species